rnacentral:rRNA from 1 species
UACGGAGGAUGCAAGCGUUAUCCGGAAUGAUUGGGCGUAAAGGGUCCGCAGGUGGCAAUGUAAGUCUGCUGUCAAAGAAUGAGGCUUAACCUCAUCAAGGCAGUGGAAACUACAUAGCUAGAGUACGGUCGGGGUAGAAGGAAUUCCUGGUGUAGCGGUGAAAUGCGCAGAUAUCAGGAGGAACACCGGUGGCGAAGGCGGAUCUCUGGGCCAUUACUGACGCUGAGGAGCGAAAGCGUGGGGAGCGAACAGG